rnacentral:rRNA from 1 species
UCGGACAGAGCUCGUGAAUCCGGGCGACGGAAUUCAGAAUUUGUGCGCGCGUUUGCGCGCGCGCUGCAGGCUCGAUAUUUCCGUCGCCGUAUUUGCGGACGUCGCGACCCGUUUGGUGUCGGUUUGAGGAGAUGCGCGAAAGUUCGUCGCACGUGCGUCGAGCUUCGGUUCGGCGUUCGUCGACGAGUGCGCAUUUUAAAUUGUUCUAACUGACUCGCCAGACGGUAUGUAAAAAAUGGGUGGUCGCAGCGGUCUUUUUUUGUAGCAUCGCUGUCGAUACCDYYGRGACRRAUUCWC